CUCAGAUCAGGUAGGGAUACCCGCUGAACUUAAGCAUAUCAAUAAGCGGAGGAA
rnacentral:rRNA from 1 species